GCAGUGAUGAUCACAGCUGCUCUGAUCAAACUCUCUGCAGCUUUGCUCUGUAUCGGAGGUCUAACUGGUGGGAGCGAUGUCUCACAGACUCCCCUGUUGUGGAGUACCGAGGGUCAGUCUGUCACAAUGAACUGCAGCCACACUAAGGGGGUUGCAUAUCGACAGAUGUAUUGGUAUCAGCAGUUGCCAGGGAAGGGAAUGAAGCAAAUUGUUUUUACAACUGCAUACAGUACUCACACAUAUGAAAGUGGCUUCAGUGAGGAAAAGUUUCCAGCAACAAAGACCAAUGAACAGACGGGAUCUCUGACAGUGGAGAAGCUGGUGCCUGGAGACAGUGGAGUGUAUUUCUGUUCUGUGAGUGAACACAGUGAUGCAGGUGGAUUAAAGAGCUGCACAAAUACCCUCUACAGACAGCACACUGAUAAACUAAAGAUAUCAGUGUCUGUAGGGGGAGCUCUGUACCUGUUACUGAUGUCAGGACUUGGUUAGGGUUCAGCAUUCCUUUUUUAAUGAUCUAAGAUAAGAAUGUCUUAUUGCAGUUACACUUUAUUUCAA